AAUGACUUACGUCAUCAUUAUGUUUGUGAGAAGAAAAGUACUUAAUUUUGACACUUAAUUUUAUAUAUCUGUUGACUUCAUUGCAUUUUGACUUUGUUCUCUCAUAUCCUCACUUUGCAUUUUUUUCUCUUUUCUCACAUAUAUUUUCACCUCAAAUUCUUCUAUUCUUGAUUCAAUUUUUUCCUCUGAUAACAUGCCAUUUCAUUCUUAUUUUUUUUUAACUCCUCCUUCAUCGACCGCUU
rnacentral:lncRNA from 1 species